rnacentral:rRNA from 1 species
UUGAACGCUGGCGGCAUGCCUUACACAUGCAAGUCGGACGGUAACAGGUUAAGCUGACGAGUGGCGAACGGGUGAGUAAUAUAUCGGAACGUGCCCAGUCGUGGGGGAUAACUACUCGAAAGAGUAGCUAAUACCGCAUACGACCUGAGGGUGAAAGCGGGGGAUCGCAAGACCUCGCGCGAUUGGAGCGGCCGAUAUCAGAUUAGGUAGUUGGUGGGGUAAAGGCUCACCAAGCCAACGAUCUGUAGCUGGUCUGAGAGGACGACCAGCCACACUGGGACUGAGACACGGCCCAGACUCCUACGGGAGGCAGCAGUGGGGAAUUUUGGACAAUGGGCGCAAGCCUGAUCCAGCCAUGCCGCGUGCGGGAAGAAGGCCUUCGGGUUGUAAACCGCUUUUGUCAGGGAAGAAAAGGUUCUGGCUAAUACCCGGGACUCAUGACGGUACCUGAAGAAUAAGCACCGGCUAACUACGU